rnacentral:lncRNA from 1 species
CAUUGGAUUUGGUUAAUCACUUCCAGAAUUAUCAUCAUUUCAUUAAAAAUGUUUUUCAGUUCAGUUUGGGGAUUAGAAGAGCUUCAAAAUUCUUGCUCGUGAUGUUUCUAUUGUAUCUUUGAUUAGUAUUUUUUUUCUUUGGGAAUAUAUUUUCCAGUUUCACAGAGUCAAUGAAGAGACAAAUGCUUCCAUUUACAGAAAUCUGUUAUCUAACAAGUUGAUCAAAGUAAGCAGACGGUCCUGGCUGCAGGUCCUGUCUCCCACGCUGACUAGCAGGGUGACCUUGAGAAAAUGGCUACAACUCUCUGUGGCUUCAGUGUUUUGUGAAGUUAAAUGUAUGUGGAGUUCUUACAUGGUAACAGCUCAGAAAACGUGACGUUCUGUUUGUUCAGUUAGUUUGAAUUCUAAUCCAGUCCUUCAGAGUAUUAGUCAUCUCAUUAUUUUAACAGUCUCGUCAUUGAUAAAAACAUAAAAUAUCAGUCAAAUUAACAACCCUUUUGUAAGUCUAGUUGAAAUGCUGCUGCUCACAAAAUUGAACUACUUCCCUGCUUUUGUUUUUCUGACUGUAUCUGACUGGCCUUUAUUAUUUCUUCGUGAACCUCUGUUAACUUGUGGCGUUUCCCCUCUGGGUGACAUUUGUGUGCUUUGUGUCUAUUACACCUGGAUUUUCAUCUGUCACAUAAUCAUCCCCCCGUCACAUCUGUGCGCCUCCCUUCCCUGUGGUUCCAGGAUAGUUUUUUCUUUUUUUUUUAAAAUAAGAACUUCUAUUUUCCUGAUUUUAUUUACCCAUAAUAUUUUUUUCCUCUCAUAGCUUUUUUCCUCACCAUUUUCUUAAGCCAGCUGAAAACUUGGGAAACAUUGGUAUUAAGUUUCUGGCUAAUAAAAAACAUACAAGUGGGCAAAUAACACCGAUUCCCAAUUUUUUUCUCCUGAUGGAAACAAGAACGGUCCUACUCUAUGGGAAACUGUUACUCUGGUGGCCAAGAACGAACCACGCCUCCUGGUGCUCACACCCUUGAGUGGUUCUUCCCCACAUUGACUCUGGACUCGUCACGGAACUGUCUUUGGCCAGUGGGACAUUAGCAAGUGUCCUGUCGGUGGAAACUUGACGAGCGCUUUCACACUGGGCUUGUUUUCUCGGAAUCCUUGCUCUUGGAACCCAGCUCCUCUAUUGUGAAAAAGCCCAAGCAGCCACAUGGACAGGCUUGGGUAGGAGGCCUGGAGCCCUGGCCCACAGCCCAAGUGGAGAUCCCAGCCGAAGGCCAGCACUGGCUCACCAGCCUCGUGAGUGGCCCAUCCACCCCAGUGGAGCGGCCCCAACCGACAGCAUAUGGAGCAGAGACAGACUGUCCCCACUGGAUCCUGGCCAAAUUGCAGAGCUGUGGGCAAACAAACGGCUGCUGUCGCUGUAAGCCGCUAGUCAUUUGCUGUUGGCUCGAGAGCUGUUUGCUGGGCUUGCAAAUAACUCCUGGCCCCUUCUAAAGAGAUGCCAGCUCUUCUUUCUUGGGACGGCCUGUAAGUUCUGUUUAUAACUCCUCGUUUGUCAUAAAACCCUGACACAGAGCC